rnacentral:rRNA from 1 species
UCCUACGGGAGGCAGCAGUAAGGAAUAUUGGUCAAUGGGCGGAAGCCUGAACCAGCCAUGCCGCGUGCAGGAAGACGGCCCUACGGGUUGUAAACUGCUUUUAUACGGGAAUAAACCCUGGUAUGUGUACCAGGCUGAAUGUACUGUAAGAAUAAGGAUCGGCUAACUCCGUGCCAGCAGCCGCGGUAAUACGGAGGAUCCAAGCGUUAUCCGGAUUUAUUGGGUUUAAAGGGUGCGUAGGCGGCCUGUUAAGUCAGGGGUGAAAGACGGUAGCUUAACUAUCGCAGUGCCCUUGAUACUGAUGGGCUUGAAUGUACUUGAGGUAGGCGGAAUGUGACAAGUAGCGGUGAAAUGCAUAGAUAUGUCACAGAACACCAAUUGCGAAGGCAGCUUACUAAAGUAUGAUUGACGCUGAGGCACGAAAGCGUGGGGAUCAAACAGGAUUAGAUACCCUGGUAGUCCACGCCCUAAACGAUGAAUACUCGAUGUUGGCGAUAUACAGUCAGCGUCAAAGCGAAAGCGUUAAGUAUUCCACCUGGGGAGUACGCCCGCAAGGGUGAAA